AGAGUUUGAUCCUGGCUCAGGACGAACGCUGGCGGCGUGCUUAAGACAUGCAAGUCGAACGGACGGUAGCAAUACCGUCAGUGGCGGACGGGUGAGUAACACGUGGAUAACCUGCCUGACUCCCCGGGAUAACAGGCCGAAAGGCCUGCUAAUACCGGGUAAGCUCACGGGGCCGCAUGGUCCUGGGAGAAAAGGUCCUGCAAGGGACUGGGGACAGAGGGGUCCGCGGCCCAUUAGCUAGUUGGGGGGGUAACGGCCCACCAAGGCGACGAUGGGUAGCCGGCCUGAGAGGGCGAGCGGCCACACUGGGACUGAGACACGGCCCAGACUCCUACGGGAGGCAGCAGUCGGGAAUUUUGGGCAAUGGCCGAAAGGGCUGACCCAGCAACGCCGCGUGAGUGAAGAAGGCCUUCGGGUUGUAAAGCUCUGUUGCCCGGGAAGAACGGUAUGGUGAGGAAAUGCGCUGUACUUGACGGUACCGGGAGAGGAAGCUCCGGCUAACUACGUGCCAGCAGCCGCGGUAAUACGUAGGGAGCGAGCGUUGUCCGGAUUUAUUGGGCGUAAAGGGCGUGUAGGCGGCUUCUUAAGUCAGGGGUGAAACCCCGGAGCUCAACUCCGGGCCUGCCUCUGAAACUGGGAAGCUUGAGUGCUCUAGAGGGCAGUGGAAUUCCCGGUGUAGCAGUGAAAUGCGUAGAGAUCGGGAGGAACACCAGUGGCGAAGGCGACUGCCUGGGGAGUAACUGACGCUGAGGCGCGAAAGCUGGGGGAGCAAACGGGAUUAGAUACCCCGGUAGUCCCAGCCGUAAACGAUGAGUGCUAGGUGUGAGGGGUAUCGACCCCCCUCGUGCCGGAGUUAACGCAAUAAGCACUCCGCCUGGGGAGUACGGCCGCAAGGUUGAAACUCAAAUGAAUUGACGG
rnacentral:rRNA from 1 species